rnacentral:lncRNA from 1 species
AACAUCUUCCUCAAAAUUACACUUAAUAGCAGUGAAAAUUAAAUAAUUAAAAAACACAGCUUCAUUUUCUCAUCAAAAUAGAAAUUGUUUUAACUCAAUGAAAUAUUAGUUUAGGUAACAUAAUAACUUAUAGAAUAAAACAAGUAAAUGAUUCCAACCCAAGUGUUACACUAUCAUAGCAACACACGAAACUAAAAUAAACUCAAAGCGAUAAACCCCGAAGAAGGUCACUACGCCAUCCUCCAAC